UCUUCUUCUUUCUCUCUCUCUCUCUCUCUCUCUCUCUCUCUGUCUCUCUCUCUAUAUAUAUAUAUAUAUAUAUAGAAUAGACAGAAAAGAGAACAAAGCUAGGUUAAUUACUUAGCUGCAAUGGAAGGACGGCCACGUUCGUAUGUGAUUCUGAUGAUGAUUUUGGUAUUAUUAAUAGAUAAUAUUAGUGAUCAUCAUCGACACGUGGUUGUCUAUGUUACAGGUUUCGACUCAUCCAACAGUGUCAUCCCCAAGCUUGAUUCAGUUGAAGUUCCUUCCAAUCGUUUCACUUACUAUGAAGGGAAGAGGAACCCAGCUGGUAGAUGGUUGCGUAGGUCGGUACAGCAUAGCCCCCCAAUGCACAAUAGGCUACAUCAUCAAUUCACGAAGCCGCAUCCUCCUGGACCACCCCCUCGUCAUGUUUGGAGUAGUAAUCAAUUAGGAGGUCAUCAAUGAUCGAUACCUUAAUUUCGAACUCACUCUGCCCCGAAACAGCACCUCUUCUCAUCUGCAAUCCCAUUUCCGCUACCCCGCCCUCACUCACCCUCUCUUUUUCCUCCCUAAUCCCCUUUGCAGGGAAGGAAAUACCAGAAACCUGAAGGAGUUCUACAAUAGAGUUCAGAUCCAAAAAGAAACAAGAACGACCCUUUUGCAGGUUUCUUCCAAUGGUUUCUUCCAAUGUGUCUCUAUGUAAUAAAUUCUUCUUCUAUGUACUACGAUAAUUCUCUGUUUAGUGGCUGAUAUGCAUCGGAUAAAUGCAUGUAUCUGAUCUGGUUUGAGUAGUGGAAUUAGACUCUCUCUCUC